ACGAAGGGUGCAAGCGUUAAUCGGAAUUACUGGGCGUAAAGCGCGCGUAGGUGGUUCAGUAAGUUAGGAGUGAAAGCCCCGGGCUUAACCUGGGAAUUGCUUCUAAAACUGCUGAGCUAGAGUACGGUAGAGGGUGGUGGAAUUUCCUGUGUAGCGGUGAAAUGCGUAGAUAUAGGAAGGAACAUCAGUGGCGAAGGCGACCACCUGGACUGAUACUGACACUGAGGUGCGAAAGCGUGGGGAGCAAACAG
rnacentral:rRNA from 1 species